CCUACGGGUGGCAUCAGUGGGGAAUAUUGGACAAUGGGGGCAACCCUGAUCCAGCCAUGCCGCGUGUGUGAAGAAGGCCCUCGGGUUGUAAAGCACUUUCAGUGAGGAAGAACGCCUGGUGGUUAAUACCCAUCAGGAAAGACAUCACUCACAGAAGAAGCACCGGCUAACUCCGUGCCAGCAGCCGCGGUAAUACGGAGGGUGCGAGCGUUAAUCGGAAUUACUGGGCGUAAAGCGCGCGUAGGUGGCUUGAUAAGCCGGUUGUGAAAGCCCCGGGCUCAACCUGGGAACGGCAUCCGGAACUGUCAAGCUAGAGUGCAGGAGAGGAAGGUAGAAUUCCCGGUGUAGCGGUGAAAUGCGUAGAGAUCGGGAGGAAUACCAGUGGCGAAGGCGGCCUUCUGGACUGACACUGACACUGAGGUGCGAAAGCGUGGGUAGCAAACAGGAUUAGAUACCCCUGUAGUC
rnacentral:rRNA from 1 species